rnacentral:rRNA from 1 species
UACGUAGGUGGCAAGCGUUGUUCGGAAUUAUUGGGCGUAAAGGGCGCGUAGGCGGCUUGUUAAGUCGGCUGUGAAAGCCCGGGGCUCAACCCCGGAGGGUCAGCCGAUACUGGCAGGCUAGAGUACGGAAGAGGUAGCUGGAAUUCCCGGUGUAGCGGUGAAAUGCGUAGAUAUCUGGAGGAACACCGGUGGCGAAGGCGGCAUCCUGGACCGACACUGACGCUGAGGAGCGAAAGCCAGGGGAGCAAACGGG